rnacentral:rRNA from 1 species
UACGGGGGGAGCAAGCGUUGUUCGGAAUUACUGGGCGUAAAGUGUGCGCAGGCGGCCGCGCAAGUCGAGUGUGAAAUCCCCGAGCUUAACUUGGGAAUUGCGCUCGAAACUACGUGGCUGGAGUGUGGCAGAGGAAGGUGGAAUUCCACGUGUAGCGGUGAAAUGCGUAGAGAUGUGGAGGAACACCGAUGGCGAAGGCAGCCUUCUGGGCCAACACUGACGCUCAUGCACGAAAGCGUGGGGAGCAAACAGG